AAGAAAGCCUUGCAAACUGACGGGGGCUUUGUGCUUUCAUGUCUGACAGCAUAUCUGGUGUGGCCUAUUUACUGUUCUAUUUUCUCUCCACAUUCCAGCACAAGACACAGGUAAAGAACACUCUAUCUCCAUUUCCUCUACACCUCCCUGACCAGCCCCCGUCUAAAAAUGGGAAGAAUAAACAAUCAAAGGGGAAAAAACGAAAACAGUUUGUCUGGAGACAUGAUUAGUCAUGAAGUGCUUUCUUUUUCUUCCUCUUGCUAUUCACAUCAGAUGUUAAUUACUUUUCAGGUUGUUGUGCCAAAUCUCAGAAGCCAAGAACAGAAAAAGGAAAAUUAUCCACAACCUUUCCCUUCCCACAAGGAAACACCUAGAGCUGGAAGAAGCCACCCUCUCACGUCCCACACAGAAUCCUGGCACUUCUCCAGCUGCAAAUCACUUUCGCGAUUUGUGGGAGUGACUUGGAGAAAAAAAGUCAAUGGGAAAGUCAUCCUUGGGUGAGGAUUAAAAAACAAAAACAAAAAACGAGUAUCUGGAGGUCAGAGGUGAAAGGAACCAAGAUGCAGCCAUGAAUCCUACAGGCACAAGGAAAUGAAUCUGCCAGCAGCCUGGGGAGCUUGGAAGUGGGUCAUUGCCCAGUUGAGCCUCUGGAUGAGAACACAGCCCACUGAUGCCUGGAUUUCCGCUUGUGAGACCCUGAGAAGAGCGCCCAGCUCAAUAACAGCCAGGCUUCAGAUCUACAGAAAGUGUGAGCUAGCAAAGGACAGAGCAAGAUGCUGCUGAAACAGGCUUGUGGCUCUACACAAACUAAAACACCCUCGCUCUCUACCAAGCAGAUGUGGAAAGCCUAACAAACAGAUCUACGCCCACCACCACCAUCUUUCUCUCUUCUAGACAGAGGCUCCUCUGUAAGGCUGCUAAUUCUCAACUUCUUGACCAUCCUCACAGCAACUGCCUUGGGUCAAACCUUCCCUGUCUAUUCCCUGAACAUCAUAAUAGCCGACUAACAGGUCCCACCACUUCUGUUCUGCUCGAUCUCCAAUCAGUCUUCCACAGUGCUGCCAGAGUCCUCUUUCUAAUAUACAAAGCUGAUUGUGUUAUUUUGUGCUUAAAAUCCAUCCAUCCAAUACUCCUUAACAAUAACAAGCUUCCUUAUGUAUCCAAACUUGUCUCCUGUCAACCAACGCCAGUCACGUACCCCAGUGUUCCAGACAAACCUAUCCAUGAGCCAUUUCUCCAAUGGCCCAAGCUCACUAGUGCCUCCGUGCCUUUGCCAGGCGAGUCCCUCUGCCUGGUUUGCCCCACUCAUCUUUCAAGAUAAACCUUAGCCUCACAGUGGUUCUCAACCUGUGGGUCGCGACCCCUGAAAAUACAUC